rnacentral:lncRNA from 1 species
AGGUACAACAGAGACAGCUGUUUGUCCCCCAGUAUCCUUCAGACAAAGCCAUAUAUGAUUGAAGGUUAUCAGUACUGUGCUUUUGGAGGAUUCAGAAGAAGUUAUAUCUGAUUGGGAGAUUGAAAAGGAUUGGCCUGAAGGAGAGGUGGUUUUUGAACUGCAUCUUAAAGGAUGAGGAAACUGAGGCUGAGAGGGUAGAGAACUUUGCCUGAGGUCACUCAGCAGGGACCCACCCAUCACAGUAAAUGCCAGCACUGCUGAUGCCAAAACAAUGUUAUUUGUAGGCCCUCGGAAUUUGUGACCUGAAGGAAGAAGAGCAGGGCCGUGGGAAGUAUGUAACCAGUGUCAUGCCCCUGGUCCCAAGGAAGCAGUGGCUUGGUAAAGAGGGGACCCCCGUCAAUAACUCCCUGUAAUUACUGGGCACCCACUCUGAGCUCCUCAGUGGAAUCCUAAGGUUAAUAAGACUGUCUCUAGCCACUGGGGCUCCCAGCCUGGAGUGAGGAUUGCAGAGUUCAGCUGGCCAUCAUCCACCAGCCGGGGGACUGUGCACAUCAGUUAACCUCUCCUCUCAGGCCUUGAAAAGCACCAGGCUUAGUACACGUUUGUUAAAUGAAUGCACUGCAGUUUUUUUGCUUGUUAAAGGCAGGUAAUAAUAAUGAUAUUGCUGACUAAGGGCUCCCAUCCACUCCCAGUGAGCCCGGUGCCCCCCCGGGCCUCCUCAGUGAGCUGAGGAGGCUCAGCAGUGCCUGCACGUCCCCUCGCCACAAUGUCAUGUGCCACCUCUUCAAAGGAGGGAUGUACCAGCUAGUGGACGUGACCUUGACUGCAAAGGGCGGCACGCAGCUGAUGUAAUGGUCGCUUAAGUGUUCACAAAUGCCUGAACACCCUGUCCUACCUGGUCCUACCUGGAUGCUGGCCUCAGUAAGCUCCUGGGCUCAUUGAAGAUGAACCUAGCAGUAGUAUUUACACCACUUGUUGUGUGCCCACUGUGGGCCCGGCGCCAUGCCGAGUGCUCUAUGGAUGUGAGUGCUGGGAGAGAAAAGCAUACGACAUAGACAGGGAGGUCAAGCUCCACCACGCAGAUGAGGUGCAGGCCACCAGUCUUCCUCUGCCACAUCUCUUUCUGAAAAGGACUUCACAUUCACCCUUGCAAUCCAUGUGGGGACACUGUUGGAUAGGAGGCGUGGUCCCAGCGUGGUCUCCCUGUCUGGGCCUCUGCCUAUGCCAAAUGUUUGCCUUACGCUGCACACUCAAGAGGUUCCAUGUAUACAGAUGGGAAUUCCAGAGCUACAGAAAAGGCAGCAAGCACCAUGAUUUAAGCUAACCAGUGUGGAUUCACACCUUCCUCUCUCUCUAUCAGUGGCAGAACUACCAGCUAGAGUAAGAAGUGGUUGAUCCAGGACCUAAACAUUCUGGAAACUCUUGCCCACUUCUGGGAGAAAUGACCCAAUCCAUAGUACUAAGCACACCUUAACUUUCGUAGGACGCAGGCAAGUUGUCAUACCGUGUGCCUAAAUAUAGAAAAAUGAUCCACUGGACUAAUAAAGUGUUAAAUAAAA